rnacentral:rRNA from 1 species
UGGCAGACGGGUGAGUAUGCAUAGGAAUCUACCUAGUAGUAUAGGAUAGCCACUAGAAGUGGUGGGUAAUACUGUAUAAUCCCUGCGGGGGAAAGAUUUAUCGCUACAUGAUGAGCCUAUGUUAGAUUAGCUAGUUGGUGGGGUAAAGGCCUACCAAGGCAGUGAUCUAUAGCUGGUCUGAGAGGAUGAUCAGCCACACUGGAACUGAGACACGGUCCAGACUCCUACGGGAGGCAGCAGUGGGGAAUAUUGGACAAUGGGCGCAAGCCUGAUCCAGCUAUGCCGCGUGAGUGAGGAAGGCCUUAGGGUUGUAAAACUCUUUCAGUAGGGAAGAUAAUGACGGUACCUAUA